rnacentral:rRNA from 1 species
AACGAACGCUGGCGGCGUGCCUAACACAUGCAAGUCGAGCGGGAAAGUUCCCUUCGGGGAGCGAGUACAGCGGCGAACGGGUGAGUAACACGUAGGUAACCUACCCUUGAGACUGGGAUAACCUGCCGAAAGGCGGGCUAAUACUGGAUAAGACCGUGAGGGCUGCGGCCCGUUGGGGUAAAGGUGGCCUCUGCUUGCAAGCUACCACUUGAGGAUGGGCCUGCGCGCCAUUAGCUAGUUGGGAGGUAACGGCUCACCAAGGCUGGGAUGGCUAGCUGGUCUGAGAGGAUGGCCAGCCACACUGGGACUGAGACACGGCCCAGACUCCUACGGGAGGCAGCAGUGGGGAAUAUUGCGCAAUGGGCGAAAGCCUGACGCAGCGACGCCGCGUGGGUGAUGAAGGCC